rnacentral:sRNA from 1 species
AUUAUACUUACAUAGUAUUUUAACCAUCCAGCAAAAUCACGAUCUUUGUAAGUUUCAUACUCUUUUUCUUCUAAUCCAGCAAAAUCAAAAUCAU